rnacentral:rRNA from 1 species
AGUGAACGCUGGCGGCAGGCCUAACACAUGCAAGUCGAGCGGAUGAAGGGAGCUUGCUCCUGGAUUCAGCGGCGGACGGGUGAGUAAUGCCUAGGAAUCUGCCUGGUAGUGGGGGAUAACGUCCGGAAACGGGCGCUAAUACCGCAUACGUCCUGAGGGAGAAAGUGGGGGAUCUUCGGACCUCACGCUAUCAGAUGAGCCUAGGUCGGAUUAGCUAGUUGGUGGGGUAAAGGCCUACCAAGGCGACGAUCCGUAACUGGUCUGAGAGGAUGAUCAGUCACACUGGAACUGAGACACGGUCCAGACUCCUACGGGAGGCAGCAGUGGGGAAUAUUGGACAAUGGGCGAAAGCCUGAUCCAGCCAUGCCGCGUGUGUGAAGAAGGUCCUCGGAUUGUAAAGCACUUUAAGUUGGGAGGAAGGGCAGUAAGUUAAUACCUUGCUGUUUUGACGUUACCAACAGAAUAAGCACCGGCUAACUUCGUG